rnacentral:rRNA from 1 species
UACGGGGGGGGCAAGCGUUGUCCGGAUUUAUUGGGCGUAAAGAGCGUGUAGGCGGUUCGGUAGGUCCGUUGUGAAAACUCGAGGCUCAACCUCGAGACGCCGAUGGAAACCCUCGAACUAGAGUCCGGAAGAGGAGAGUGGAAUUCCUGGUGUAGCGGUGAAAUGCGCAGAUAUCAGGAAGAACACCCGUGGCUAAGGCGGCUCUCUAGUACGGUACUGACGCUGAGACGCGAAAGCGUGGGGAGCAAACAGG